rnacentral:lncRNA from 1 species
ACAGGGACCCAUACAAGUGGGUUUGGAACCCAUGGUGCACCAACCACAGGGACCCAUACAAGUGGGUUUGGAACCCAUGGUGCACCAACCACAGGGACCCAUACAAGUGGGGUUGGAACCCUUGGUGCACCAACCACAGGGACCUUUACACCAACCACAGGGACCUUUACACCAACCACAGGGACCUUUACACCAACCACAGGAACCCAUACAAGUGGGUUAGGUACCCAUGGUGCACCAAGCACAGGGACCCAUACAAGUGGGUUUGGAACCCAUGGUGCACCAAGCACAGGGACCCAUACAAGUGGGUUUGGAACCCAUGGUGCACCAACCACAGGGACCCAUACAAGUGGGUUUGGAACCCAUGGUGCACCAA